rnacentral:rRNA from 1 species
UGGCGCAGGUACCCUGGUACCGAGGUAUACGGUGCUUCAUCGGUUGAUAGACUUAGUAGCCUACAAGGUGCCGAUCUGAAAAAGGGGAUGUGGUAGGACGUGCCAUGGAAGCGGAGAAAGAGGAGGCCAGGGAAGAUAGAAGAGGGUGCGACGAGACUAGAGGCUGGAGGACGGGGCUCGAGGUUAGGCUGGCUAGGUUACGGCGAGAUUUAGGAGAGGAGGUGAGGUGGUGGUGGAUCUAGGCGGGCGGGGCUCCGCCGCCUCGAGGCCUCUCGAGCUACUCGUCGGUCCCUAAGCCGGGGCCCUCGGGGUUCAGGAAGGCGAUGGGAUCUCGGCUGAUGCUAGAGCUCAGGCCCUAGGGGGCGUUCCCGGCGUUCGGGUUCCGGAGCGUAGAGCUGCGGGGGCGGGGGGAGCCGAGCCGCGACUACUUCUAGGCGAAGAAGAUGCUCCGCGUGGGGCAGCGCCAGCGGGAGUAGGACGACAGGAAGCCCGACUCGCAAGACUAGGAGGACAGGCACAUGCUCUGGGCCAAGUCCUGCUACUCCUCGCCGCCGUUACUCCAGCCCCGCGUGGGCGAAGGCCCGGAGGCGUUGGAGCAGUACCACCGGCCGGUAAGCUAUAUGUGGUCGCGGUCGACGCCCUUCUAGCUGGCGCUCCUAAGCACCAAGAACCUCGGCAUGGUCUUCGUGGGGCCGGUCCGCCGGUGGAAGAACCGCGUGUAGUUCCUCCCCCACCUCUAGCGCCGCUCCCUACUCCCGCGCGAGGAGAACAAAUCGCCACCCCUCUGCUCCUUUCUACGUCCCGGCUCCUCGCUCCGCGUCUCGAUGACCCGAUAGCGUCUCAGCCUUCCGACCAAACCACUCAAAGUCCAAUGUAGUUGUAAGGAAGAAAGCACGAAAUCAUUCUAAUAAUAAUAACCGUAUUGCCCCAAGCCUUUACACCACGACUAAUCAGAAAAACAGCUAACAAGCAGUAUACAUAGGACUUGAACUUUGUUGUUCUGGAUCUACAUGUUAAUGAAAGACUCAAGACUGAUGUAUGCGUGAGUCAACGAGACUACUUUUACGUUUCGUUUGUUGUACGAACAAAAUCCAAGACAUAUAUCUAUACAACUACGUACUAGUAUUUAAAUGAUAGCACCUUCAUUUAUUAAUUUUACCGACAUCUUUUGUAGUAACUGUCGUUCGACGAGUGUAAAACGUCUCCGGUAACCUUUUACCGACUACUCAAGAGAUUAACACAGUUUGUACAUCAAGUCGAGUAUUUAGGUAGAGACUUUGUACCUAUCAGUCUUACAUUCCUGACUUCUCCAACUACGAAGGACUUCAAAUAGCACAAAUGGAAGAGUAGAGUCGUGUCAUAAUGGUGGCAACAAAUACAUAGGUCAAGCUCAAGGAAUCAAUAAAACCGUUGGUAGACCGUUUUUGAAGUGAUAAACGUACAUGUACGUGUCCUUUACUACUAUCACAUUCCUUGGCCCGUGAGUGACUCCUCGUACGUGCUCUAUCAAAACUCUUAGAGGAUAAAUCGUAAACGGCAAAGUCUCUUGAGUGACCUUGUAUGGGUGUCUUAUAUUGACAACAUUCGAUACUAAAAUUCCUCCUUUCCAAACGUGUUAACGUGUCUAGACGUGAACCCAAGGGUCUUCUUUCCAAGAAGAAGAGUCCAUGGGGUCGAUGUCGAUGUCGUUUCCUCCGUCGAGACUUUCCACUUCGGAGACAGUCCAGAGUCAAGGUUCUUCUAGGUAUACCUACACAACCAAGAGAAGCACAUUUCUCCGAGUUCUCUCUGGGCAAAGUGGCAUGGUAAGGGAUGGGGUUACCGACGGGACUUAACUUCCCGGAUAAGAGGAUAACGCCGUACCACGGUAUGAGACCCUUGGAAGGAACCUGAGUCAUCGCCUUUUUCCGUACUACAAACCUAGUUUGUAGAUGAGAGCGACAUUUUAGGGUCGUAAGAACAAAGCGGGGACAAAGAUUCGACUGUCUUAUCUAUAGGGCUAAGGACAGAAGACACGCUCCCUCUUCUCUUCUAGAUUCGAUGUGAUCAAUCUAACAAAAGCAGUGCCUUCGAACGGUGUACGAGGUAUAUCUGUCUAAAAGAUAAAGAGUGAGGAGGGCCUAGAGGUGACUUUUGACACUUAAACAAUCAUGUGUACCAGACAUUUGAUCGUCACCUUCGUUCACUUGAAUAUUAAACAUUAAGGUCGAACUUGACGUGGUCAUUUUUGACCUUUGGAAUACUUGUACAUGGUACAUUAUAGAACCAUAAGAAGGUAACACUUUUUUUAUCCGACAAAAGCAAAAACUCCUUCCUCGAAACCCUUAUUCAAUUACCAGAUAUACACGACCGAUGAAACGGU